UAGAGAAUAAUAUAGUGGGAGUAUGGAGGGUUUUGAUCUCUUCAGUGCAGGUUCGAGUCCUGCUUUUCUA
rnacentral:tRNA from 1 species